UCUUAAUAAUUAAUGAGCACUUUUUGUAAUACUCGAACAUUUUUUACCAUAUGAGUUAGUGAUUAAAAUAUCCUUGAGAGAAUGUUUAUUUUAAUAAAGUCGUAGUAGUAAGGUAAAAGCCUUGUGUAAAAGUGUAUAUAUAUAUAUAUAUAUAUAUAAAUAUGUUAAAAAGGAUAUUAAAUGCUUAUGUAAUAAGUGAAAGUAAUUUGGCCUGGUGGUAGUGUGUUGUUUUUAUUUUUUUAUUUUUUUUAUAAAGAUUGGGGUUUUACUUAGAAGCUGGUUUAGUUUUGUUCUUAUUUCUUUUGCUUUGCUUGUGUUAGGGUUGGUUGAGAGAGAGAGAGAGAGAGGUGAAAUCUUUAGUCCUAAACUUGCGGGAAUCGUGGGUAACCACUGGGAGGAAGUUGAGAGUGAAGUGUAGUCUUUAAGAAUCCAUCACGAUAGGAAUGGGGGAGGAGGAAGGAGAAGAAAAAAAAAAGAAAAGGGAGUUACUGGUUUCAGAUUUUUGGGGGGAAUUUUGUGAGUGUGAAAUUAGAGGUUGGUGAAGAGAGGGUGGAGGAAGUAAGCGAAGUAGAACCGUGAGCAAUGAAGAUUGGAGGCUGCCAAGGAUAGAGAUAUUGCACAAAUGGGUGAGUUGAGAGGUCGCCGUAAGGACUUCGGAUCAAGAUAGGAAUGCAGAUGCUACUAGAUCUAUAUGAUUGACGAGAGAGGGGAGUACUAUGGGAGUUCAGUUUCAAAGUUUUAUUUAUUUAUGAAAAGGAUUUGUAAUACUUUCUUGAUUUUCUUGUUAGACUCAGAAAUUUCUGUUUUCAUUUGUAAUAACUUUAAGUCUUUGGAAAAAUUUAAUUACAUUGUAAAAUUUUAAGACUUUACUUUAGAUUUUGAUGCUUUUAAGUGACUUUCAGUUUUGAGACGUUACAUUAAUGAUAUCAGAGCAAUGAUUUUGGGACUUUGUAGAGUGAGCUCAUCUAGGUUCUAAUGUGUAACUAUGAUGUUAUAGUGUUUCGUGAUGUGUAAUGCUUAAUGGAAAAGAUUGGUGAUUGCUUA